AUGGAGGAAAAGAUAAGUAACAAUGUGAAGGUUGAAAAUGGAAAGGGACAAGAACAGCAAGAGAAAGAGGUAGAGAAAAAACUAAGCAACGGCGAGAGGAGUGAAAAUGGAGGGCUAGUUGGUUCCCGGGACUUAGAAAUUAGGUCGAAAAAGAAACAGGAAGCUAAAUUACAUGUUGAAGAGGUAAAGACGGAGCAAAGGAAGAAGAGGAAGAAUGAAAACGUGGAAUAUGGAUAUGGGGAACAGUCUAAGAAGAAAAUGAAAAUGAAACGCGAGGGUUAA